rnacentral:rRNA from 1 species
UACGAAGGGGGCUAGCGUUGCUCGGAAUUACUGGGCGUAAAGCGCACGUAGGCGGCUUUCUAAGUCGGGGGUGGAAUCCUGGAGCUCAACUCCAGAACUGCCUUCGAUACUGGAGAGCUCGAGUCCGGGAGAGGUGAGUGGAACUGCGAGUGUAGAGGUGAAAUUCGUAGAUAUUAGGAAGAACACCAGUGGCGAAGGCGGCUCACUGGCCCGGUACUGACGCUGAGGCGCGAAAGCGUGGGGAGCAAACAGG